UAGCUAGAUUCAUAUUAGUUUGUAAUAAUCUCGAAGCCUAAAGAGCUAUUUUGUAGUAUCAGAGUGGGUGUGGCAUAACCUUUUUUAAACUAUAAAAUAGAAAUAAGAUGUUAUUCGUGUUAGGGGAUAGCUAGUUUUGGCAGAAAUGUAUAUAAGUACAGAAGUUGAAAAAGCUUGUUUUAAUUUAUUAAGACAUUUAAUAUUAACAUUUGAGUUAUUUAAGGAUAAGCUCUGGUAACAUGUUUAUAUAAAAGACUAGUAUAAAAAAUAAAUUUAGGCUUGGAAUUAGCCAGAAUUAUGAGUUUGUUUCUAAAAAUUUAUUUAUAAUACUGUCUUGCGGAUUUGAGUGUGUAUGCUAUAUAAGUUAUUUCUCAAGAUAAUAAUUAAACUUAUGCUAAGAUGAGUAUUAAACUAAACAGAAAUAAUAGCUAUAUUCUAAAAAGCUAAAUUUUGGAUUAUUAGAAAAUGAUAUACAUAUAAGGAACUCGGCAAAAACAAGCUUCGCCUGUUUAGCAAAAACAUGUCUCUUCG
rnacentral:rRNA from 1 species